rnacentral:misc_RNA from 1 species
GAUUAAUUUAUGAAAGUAAAGGACGUAUAUUAAGUUAGUAAAAUAAAGGAAAUUAUAACGGGUAAGCAUGUAAUUAACAUUAAUUUAAUAAGAAAAAAACUUUUAUGAGUUUUUGUGAUGUAGUUGAAUUAAGAUAGGAAUUACUUUUGAGUCUGAAUGGUCUUAAGAGUGUAUUACAGAUCUGAUUAACUCAGAUGUAUUCAGACUCGUUAAGAGACUUCUAAGAAAAUAAAACAAACAAACUUAA